UACGUAGGGGGCAAGCGUUGUCCGGAUUUAUUGGGCGUAAAGAGCGUGUAGGCGGUUUGGUAGGUCCGCUGUGAAAACUCGAGGCUCAACCUCGAGACGCCGGUGGAAACCAUCAGGCUAGAGUCCGGAAGAGGAGAGUGGAAUUCCUGGUGUAGCGGUGAAUGCGCAGAUAUCAGGAAGAACACCCGUGGCUAAGGCGGCUCUCUAGUACGGUACUGACGCUGAGACGCGAAAGCGUGGGGAGCGAACAGG
rnacentral:rRNA from 1 species